CAGCCGCCACGGUAAUACGAAGGGUGCAAGCGUUACUCGGAAUUACUGGGCGUAAAGCGUGCGUAGGUGGUGGUUUAAGUCCGUUGUGAAAGCCCUGGGCUCAACCUGGGAAUUGCAGUGGAUACUGGGUCACUAGAGUGUGGUAGAGGAUAGUGGAAUUUCCGGUGUAGCAGUGAAAAUGCGUAGAGAUCGGAAGGAACAUCUGUGGCGAAGGCGACUAUCUGGGCCAACACUGACACUGAGGCACGAAAGCGUGGGGAGCAAACAGGAUUAGAUACCCGCGUAGUCCCUGUCUCUUAUA
rnacentral:rRNA from 1 species